rnacentral:snRNA from 2 species
GUGCCCACUUUGGCAGCACAUAUACUAAAUUAGAAUGAUACAGAGAUUAGCAUGGCCCUGUACAAGGAUGACACAAAUUCAUGAAGCAUUCCAUAUUUUA